ensembl:lncRNA
AAGGGGAGGCAAUGUUCUCUUUCUGGAGAUCUCUGUAUACCUGAGGGCUUCUCAAGAUUACUGAGACAAUGCUUUUGAGCAACUUCUGACUACCACUGAUGUAAAGAUAUCCCAUUGUCUCUGAGAUUCUGAUCAACUGAAGCCAAGAAGGUUUACAGUGACUGGUGGCAUCUGCUGUUGCUCUCUGGCUUUCUUCUCAUACUGUGCAGGAUCAAUCAGCCAACAGCCAAGGAUGGGAGCAAAGAACUUUUUCCAUUUGUUACAUGAAAAGACUAUAAAUUAGAGCAAGAAGCCAGCCCUGCUCCUCAGUCACUGUGGUUGUGAACACUUUGGGAAAUGCAAAAUGUGUGUUUUUUCAUUCUGAUGACUUACUUUGAGAAUCUAAAGUUCAAGAGUACACUUGGUCAGUAUUGAUUCCUUGGAUGAAGACCAAAAGUAAAGAAGAAAACUCAGGUUGCACUGGCAACAAAGUAACCUGUUAGUGUUACAGAGGAUAACACCGAGUUGCUGAAGAUCAUAAAAUGCCCAUAAAAAAGAAGAAAGAGUAAGAUAACAACAAGAGCACUAAUUUUUCAUGCCCCUUUGGGACUGCUUUGGACUGCUGAAAGCAAGAGAUAAGAUCACUGGAUUCACCUGGAGAUUACAUUUACUUCAGAUAUGUGCAGAAGGGACUCAUGAGAAAAGGAAGUAUUUACAUUCUGGCAUGUUAAUGAGUUUCCAUCUUUUUUUUCACCUCUCUUUCC